UGCCACAGCCAUAUCACCCUGCAGCCCAAGACUGGUUGCCCACUGAAGCUAAGCAGGGUUGAGCCUGGUCAGUACCUAGAUGGGAGACCUCCUAUGAAAACUAGGUUGCUGCUGGAA
rnacentral:rRNA from 1 species